ACGAACGCUGGCGGCGUGCCUAAUACAUGCAAGUCGAGCGGAGUGAUGAAGAAGCUUGCUUCUUCUGAUUUUAGCGGCGGACGGGUGAGUAACACGUGGGCAACCUACCUUGUAGAUUGGGAUAACUCCGGGAAACCGGGGCUAAUACCGAAUAAUCCAUUUUGCUUCAUGGCGAGAUGUUAAAAGGCGGCUUCGGCUGUCACUACGAGAUGGGCCCGCGGCGCAUUAGCUAGUUGGUAGGGUAAUGGCCUACCAAGGCGACGAUGCGUAGCCGACCUGAGAGGGUGAUCGGCCACACUGGGACUGAGACACGGCCCAGACUCCUACGGGAGGCAGCAGUAGGGAAUCUUCCACAAUGGACGAAGGUCUGAUGGAGCAACGCCGCGUGAGUGAAGAAGGUUUUCGGAUCGUAAAACUCUGUUGUAAGGGAAGAACACGUACGAGAGUAACUGCUCGUACCUUGACGGUACCUUAUUAGAAAGCCACGGCUAACUACGUG
rnacentral:rRNA from 1 species